AGAGUUUGAUCCUGGCUCAGAAUUGCGCGGCUACACAUGCAAGUCGAGCGGUAGCACAGAGAGCUUGCUCUCGGGUGACGAGCGGCGGACGGGUGAGUAAUGUCUGGGAAACUGCCUGAUGGAGGGGGAUAACUACUGGAAACGGUAGCUAAUACCGCAUAACGUCGCAAGACCAAAGUGGGGGACCUUCGGGCCUCAUGCCAUCAGAUGUGCCCAGAUGGGAUUAGCUAGUAGGUGGGGUAACGGCUCACCUAGGCGACGAUCCCUAGCUGGUCUGAGAGGAUGACCAGCCACACUGGAACUGAGACACGGUCCAGACUCCUACGGGAGGCAGCAGUGGGGAAUAUUGCACAAUGGGCGCAAGCCUGAUGCAGCCAUGCCGCGUGUGUGAAGAAGGCCUUCGGGUUGUAAAGUACUUUCAGCGGGGAGGAAGGCGAUAAGGUUAAUAACCUUGUCGAUUGACGUUACCCGCAGAAGAAGCACCGGCUAACUCCGUGCCAGCAGCCGCGGUAAUACGGAGGGUGCAAGCGUUAAUCGGAAUUACUGGGCGUAAAGCGCACGCAGGCGGUCUGUCAAGUCGGAUGUGAAAUCCCCGGGCUCAACCUGGGAACUGCAUUCGAAACUGGCAGGCUAGAGUCUUGUAGAGGGGGGUAGAAUUCCAGGUGUAGCGGUGAAAUGCGUAGAGAUCUGGAGGAAUACCGGUGGCGAAGGCGGCCCCCUGGACAAAGACUGACGCUCAGGUGCGAAAGCGUGGGGAGCAAACAGGAUUAGAUACCCUGGUAGUCCACGCCGUAAACGAUGUCGAUUUGGAGGUUGUGCCCUUGAGGCGUGGCUUCCGGAGCUAACGCGUUAAAUCGACCGCCUGGGGAGUACGGCCGCAAGGUUAAAACUCAAAUGAAUUGACGGGGGCCCGCACAAGCGGUGGAGCAUGUGGUUUAAUUCGAUGCAACGCGAAGAACCUUACCUGGUCUUGACAUCCACAGAACUUAGCAGAGAUGCUUUGGUGCCUUCGGGAACUGUGAGACAGGUGCUGCAUGGCUGUCGUCAGCUCGUGUUGUGAAAUGUUGGGUUAAGUCCCGCAACGAGCGCAACCCUUAUCCUUUGUUGCCAGCGGUUCGGCCGGGAACUCAAAGGAGACUGCCAGUGAUAAACUGGAGGAAGGUGGGGAUGACGUCAAGUCAUCAUGGCCCUUACGACCCAGGGCUACACACGUGCUACAAUGGCAUAUACAAAGAGAAGCGACCUCGCGAGAGCAAGCGGACCUCAUAAAGUAUGUCGUAGUCCGGAUUGGAGUCUGCAACUCGACUCCAUGAAGUCGGAAUCGCUAGUAAUCGUAGAUCAGAAUGCUACGGUGAAUACGUUCCCGGGCCUUGUACACACCGCCCGUCACACCAUGGGAGUGGGUUGCAAAAGAAGUAGGUAGCUUAACCUUCGGGAGGGCGCUUACCAUCUUUGU
rnacentral:rRNA from 1 species